GCCAACGGCCGUCCUCGCGCCGCGCCAACGGCCGUCCGCGGGCCCCCCCGCUGAGGGGAGAGGGGGCUCGUUCCGAGGGACCGGGCGAGCGGCCCCCGAAAGGCGGAGAGGUGGCGCCCGCGGCGGGGCACGGCCGCAACCGGGGGACUGGGGACACGCAACCGUCAUUUCUUCAACACCCACCGCCCUGUUUAUUCCCCCACUUUUAUUCAGCGCUGCGUGUGGCGCAGGUCGUCGGUCUGUAGAUGCGAGCGGUUUCUGUGAGGAAAAAAGCCAGCACGGCCAUGGAGCGCGGCAGGGCAGCAAGGUCGGUGCCGGUGUCAGGUCACACAGGCGGCCAGCGGGGACAGCGAGCAGCCCCGCCACGGCAAAGGGACGACACCAGCCCCUGCCCCGAGAGCUGAGACCUGCCCUGGGCUGCGUUAUCCAGUACGAGCAACGGUGAGAGGGGCCGGGCUGUUAAUUCAGCCCUGGGCACACAGCUCGUCACAAGGGUGGCUGGUUCCGCUCUCUCCGUGAGGGGCAGAAGGAACAGCUGUUGCUGUUCGUGGCUCUUCAUUGCAGGAAUUGCACUGUAUGAGAGCAGGUGACAAUGACAGCGAUACCAAAAGUGCCAUGUCACCAUGUAUGUGCAAGAUAGUAGUAAUAAUUAUUCAAAAUAAACUUUAUUGAGAAAGAUCAGCUGAGCAGGGCACUGAACAGCAAAUAAGCUCACCAGCUAAUUUAAUGAGCCCUAUGAUACUUAUCCUUACAAUGUGGUAUUUUAUGAAGACUAUAGAGAAGAAAACUGCAAUGAAGGGUACUUUCUUAGGUGCAGCUAAGGAUGGCAUGAGUUCUUUGGAGCAUGGCAGUAACAGACUGAACAGGGAACGAGGCCAAGAAUAAAAGGGGAAAGAGAAGAGGAUACAAGGUAGGGGGGGAGAGGAGACACCUAGAAAACAAGAAGUAAAAAAACCUAAUUAGUAGCAAGUAAAUAAAGUCCAAGAUUCCCUUUGUAGAUGUGAUCCUCAGACAUGAGUGGCGUCUGUGGGUCUCUGAGGGAGCCUACAUGGCCUGAUAUGCCAUAGCUCUCAGCCAUCCCUUUGCUGUGGGGACUAGCUUUGCAACACAGGAGUGCUGGGGGGAAUUUUCCUUCCAACAUAUGUGGUUAGACAAGAUAGUUUCUUCAGGCCAGGAGCUUCCAAAAGAUACUUUGCUAGUUCCUGUUUUCAUUUGCAAUAAUUUAUCUAUCACUUAGUUUAUUUAUAUAUCACCAAGUCAGAUCCUAUGUAGUCCGGAAUGAUUUUGAUCUAGAGCCCGCUGAUUGAACAGUAAAUAGAUGAAGUUUUUCUGCGUCGGUCAUUAAAGGGUUAGGUCAGCCUGGGUGAAGAAAAAAGGCUACUUGGCAUUCCGCUGCCAGUAUGUACACUCAGACAUAUAAGAACAUAAAAUGUAAUUGCUUUGUUGUACCAAAAUAUUGUGUUUUCCUUUCUCUUUCCUUUCUGUUUUACACUCAUGAAGAGGUAACGUUUGUCAUCUGAAGGAAUAGGAGUAUCUUGAAUCCCAUCUUGACCAUCCCACUUGGUCCCUGUUCCUCUUCAUCAUGACAAGCCCUUCUCUAACCCUUAGCCCUGUGCUGCCUGGCCUUUUUCUCUCUGUUGCCGGUAGUGCUGCAAUAUGAAAAAGUCUGCCAAAGAUCUUUACAUCUGAGCACAAAAAUUCGUUGUUCAAUUGUUAAUGAAGUUAUGCUGAGUUAAUGUGUCACAAUUUACUGAUUCUCUUGCAUCAGUAUGUGAGAUCUUACAUACUUAGCUGGUUGAUUAUCCUUUUCUAUACUGCAUUAAUCCAGAGGCAAAUGUUUAUGAUCUUGCUAAAUAUUAUGUAGGAUGAGAUUUUUAGAUACACUGGCAGUUAAAUUGCAUACUGUCAAGCUGUUAUUUCUAGCCACUUUACUAAUUCUUUUUCAUCUUUAACGACUGAACUGCAGAUUUAUUUUAUUUAUUUGUUUAAAUUAUACUGCUGAUCUUUUUGUACAUAAUUUUUCAUUUUGCAUUAAAUGUUUGACUCAUGACAGGUAGCUGCAUAGCUGGUUUUUACUAUGUGCUUAUCAGUCCUCCAUAAAUCGUACCAAGUUGCUAAAAUAGAUCAUUAGGUCAAACACUUUCUUAGAAAUAAAACAAACUAGUUCUGAGAAAUGUUUUCCAUUGCUUCUGCUGCUGGCUCAGGAAAGACAAUUUAAUUUCUUGGGUUUUAAGAGACAGUCAAUGUUCACUUCAAGACACUUUAGUGGAAAAAGGAGUAAGAUGCUGAGCCAAUUUAGCACUUGUGGAAUGGUAGCUAAAGGAGUAAGGAAUAUUGUAUCAACAGAAUAAAAGUUUUAGGAGCCAUAUUACCGAGUCAAUCCAACGUGUUACAGCAUGUCUGUUGUUCAUGUAACCAGCAGUGGUCAUUACUGUUCCUCCAGAGAGGCUGGCUGGGGACUUGCCUGUGCCUCAUGUCAUCCAGGGACUGUUAGCAGAUGCUUAAAUGGGCGUUUUCCUUGACUUGCUUGUCAAUGUUAUGUUUCCUAUAUCUAAAUCUGAUCAAAAAACUGAAAGCAAAUAAAAAUAAAUCUGACCAGAUUACUUUUUAAAAUCUUAUGUUUUAAAAACUGCUAGUGAUAUACAGGAUUUGAUUCAGAACCGUCAGUGUUACCAUUUGCAGUGCUGUAUUCAACUUAUUUAGUUCCUGGUGUGAUUAUUUUUCUUGAUGGGUCGUAGUACAUUUUGGCUUGGGCAAAACGAAUAUAUCUUUGUGCCCUGGUCCUUCAAGAAGCGUCAUGUUGCCAAUUCCUGAAGCAGCUGUGGAAAGCGAAUAAAAUCUGUAAGAUUAUCUGUGUAGCAUUAUUGGCAAUGUGAUAUAGUGAUGUUAUUGCUAGUUCAAAAUCUGAAUUUGUAUGGAAGUUGUCCUUUACUCAGAGAAUAGUCUUGGGACACUUUGUAGCUUUUUGUCUGAAAUUCCGAGAUCCUGGAGUGCUGGAUGUUAUGUGUUCAUUCCAGAUGGCGUGUUCACCUCCAUUGCACUGGACUGAAAGCAGCUACCAUUUUCUACCAGCCUACGGAGUUGUUCCAAGAGAUUUAAAGUUGCCCUCCAGAGAAAAGAGAACCAUAGUAAAUAGUCUACUACAUUAUCUGUAAACUCAUCAAUGAAAACAGGGUGAUUAUUUCUUUUCAUUACCACACUUUCUGUAUUUUGCAUGUUUUGCUCCUCCCUAGGGACUGCAUGGGAAUAGCAUGUUGACUGUGUAAGUCUAAAUUAAAUGUUCGUCUAAAAGAAGAACUAUUAAAAUGUAAUUCUGGGCAGGAUGUGCCUGUCAGCAGGAAGCUUCCUAAAAUACCCUAUGUUUUAAGAGUGGAAUUUUAGAGUGGGAGGGAAGUGUAGAAUUGCUAUUUACCUGUCUGAUGCUGCUUUUGACACACAUGAUGAGCCAGCUUCAUUUGACUGUCACCUCCUUAGGAGGCAGAAUUCCUCAGCCCACACUUUGCUUAGCAUUGACUACUUCUUUAUUUGCUCUUUGUGCCUUUGCGUUUUAUCUGGACUGUGCAUUUUCAGUUAAGCUCCAGUUAAAGACAGGCUUCUCAGUCAUGGCAUUGUAGGAGAGCCCACAGAGCCUCCCACACAGUGCCUUCCUCAAAGAGAGAUGGGGAUGACUGUUUCUUUGAAGAAGCACUUUUGAAACAAAAGGGAUUCCCCUAUGCUAUUGACAAUUUAUUUCCAACCACACAUGUACAGAGCCAUUGGAAUGGUAGGUCUCCUUCCAUUUGUCAGAUUUUUCAGAGAUGUGCUACAUCUCUUUGGGUUGCCUCUGGGGGAAUGCCUGAGAGGAGCUGUGGGCAAGGCAGUGCAUGAAGGAGUUCUUUGACAACUGAGGCUGAAGGAGCUUCAUUCAGAGAGCUGGGAGGUUCAGGACAGUGAAAUCUUGGAGAAGGUGCAAACAAAAUGAAAAUCUUUUCCUGUCAUCUUUCCCCCUUCUGUUGUUUCUGUUUGGAUUUUGGCUUCUCCAUGUCCUCUGUGACCUUUUCCUUUAUAAUUUCACAUGGUCAGCAAUCAGAACCAAAGACCAAAAGAGUGAGUGAUUAAAAUGGGCAGAAAACUUGCAAUUAAAAUGCCUUAAUGUGAGAAUUUUGUUUCUAAAAGAACUUCAGCACAGCUUAGAAAUCGGCAAUCACAGUUUGACACUUCCCUUAGCUGCCAGAGCAACUGGUAGAAUUAGAAAUCAGUCAGAUUUGCAGGGAAGAAAGAACUGGUAAGUUAAAAAACAAGAACAUAAGCAAGACCAUGUCUGAAUAAAUUUCCAGUCAUCUGUACAUAGACCAUUUAUUGAGAAAGAUAAGAAAAGAAAACCUACAUUUUCAUAAUCCUGAUUACAUGCAGAGGAUUGACCCAGAUGCAUGAUUUUAGCUGUAUUUAUUAUAUUUAAACACAAUGUAUGCCUUCAGAUGUGUUUACUGAAAAGAGGAACCACCACCAUUUAAAUGAAAUGUUUUUAAAUAUUACUGUUUAAAAAAGAAACUAUUGGAUUCCUGCAUACUGAGAAGUAAUGUAUACGACUGUGGUGCUCUAGAAUUAAUUAGGUCUCUUAUUUUAGUUUUAGAAUCAAGAAGAUGUUUUCUCAUUGCUUGCAGAAUAAAAUAGAUAAAUCCUCUGCUUAGAUCUGAAAGUAGUUUUGCCCACAGCAAUCAAACUAAUAUUUUCUUUAUAGCUCAUUCUCUCUGUAAGCUUUCUGCUGAUUUCAUUAGGCUUUAGAUCAGGUUCCAAGUAACUAAUUAUAUUUAUAGUGUGAUUUCUUUGCUCAGUACAACUAAUUUAGGUGAAGGAGUUGGUGGGAAUGGUGAAAGGCUAACUAGUAUUCCUUUGCAUUACUUUGUCCAGGUGCAAGAUACCAGGAAAAAUGUUUGGUUUUUAUAUUCAUAAACUCUCAGUAUUAAGCUGAGCAGAAUCUUUACUAUUUUCAGUAUUUUGUGAGAGCAUAAUGAUCAACAGUUAAUAUACUGUCUUUUUCCUUUAUAUUGGCUAGGGAUGACAUAUUUCUGACAGCAAAAAUGGGGGUCAGAAAGAGCUGGCCAUUUGCAAGUGCUGAUGAGGACUCAAACUUGGGUAUGUGAGGAUGUCCAUGUUUUUCACUCAUGUUCCAUUGCUCCAAGUUUCUUCCUAACAUUUCUUAAUACAUAUUCUCUCUUACAUCUCUGCUGUAAAGCCACCACCCUCCCUUUCAUCCCCGUCUCACCCUUACCACAAAUCCCCUCUCACUUAUAGCCCACAGGCCUGCCCCUAUUUCCCAGACUCAGAUCGGCUGCUCUACUCAUGCUCAUCUUUGACAGGGCCAGUGCUGCAUCAUUGCUUCUGUUACUGCCUUACUAAAUGCUGCCACAGGCAGCUGAAUAAUGCUUCUCUCAGCUGGCCCUAUCCACAAAAAUAAAAGACCCUUCAGCUUUGGUUUCUGGGGAUUUAAAAAGCUUGAACAAAAGUAGGUUUGUUUAGCGGCUUUACUUUGCUAAAGGAUAUGAAGAUUCUGUUCUUGCAUCACUAGCCCCAAUUCCUUUCUCUUUUUUAAACUGGUUCUCUUAUCCUGACUCCACAACUGUGUUUCUUUACCUGAACAGAAAAUUAUUCUCUUACUUGCCCAUACAAAUAUCCUAUUUUUCGAAAUCCAAUGAACAUCACAUAUCCUGAGUAGUUAUUCAGAAAUUUUCUGGUUUGUUAUGGUUUUCCACUCUCAGACUGAAAUGCAAAGAAGCAGGCCCAUUUCAGGUUGACUUUCUGACAAGAGGUCUGGUAUUUGGCACAACCUUGCAGACUACAAGGCUGUGUCUUUAAAAGCUGGACAUUGAUUUUAUCAGAGGAGUAUAGUGCAACCCAGCAGCUUUUUGGAGGCCUGAGCCGUAACAUCAUGCUCUGAUCUAAAGUUUACCGAUGACCUUGAGUUACCUCUUUUUUUUUUUCCUGGUAUGUUUCCAUUCCUGAGAAAAUCAAGAGCUGCAAGACUGACUUGUAAUAUACUCAUUCAAUUAAUCAAGUGAGAGUGAAUCAAACCUUUCCAGGCAAUUUUGUUUGAAGUGUCUGCACUCUUCUCUGCAUCGCAUGAGGUGCCAACACCAGUGGGAGUUUGCCUGAGGUUACAAUAAAAUUUCUUGCCCCUUGCUUUGCUGCUGAUGAUAAUGCUUGUUAUCUUCUGGAGACACUUGUUUGCAAACUUAGAGACACUACAUGAUGCUGAAUUCUACUGGAUCUCCGUGAGUCAUUAAUUUCAGCCUAUUCAUGUCCCCAUCUGGUUCCCUCUGAGGCUGCUGCCUUUGAUUGAACCAAACCUUUGCAUUCACACAAUGUGUGAUUUGUGUAAAUGUAUGUAUUGCUUAGCUCUCGUGCUCUUAGUAAUCGAUCUGUAACAAAGACGUAUCUUUCCCUAGGAAGGGUGGUGGGACAGCAAUGGUGUUCUUGAAAACAGCAGUCUGGGAUUGCUGAUGGCUUAAAGCAGCAGCCUGAUGCCGUACUCCUGCUGCAAGAUCAGCCUCUCACCUGUAGGAAUAGAAAGCAGGACUCAGCCUCUGCAAGUGCAACCCGUGAGAUGAGGCAAGCCAGCACAAGAGUAUUUCAUGCUCAUUCCUUGCGACCUCCUCUUGCAGCUUCAUGCCUGACUCCUCCUGUGUUUGGAACAAAGUCCUGUUUUCUUAUGUAUCUAAUCAAGCAUGACACAUAAGCAGCUGGCUGUAACCCUGCAGGAGACUGACAGUGUAUGUGAGAAAGAUGGAGGUAAAACAAGGUAGGUGAAAACCUUCCCCAAGGUUUUUGGACCACUCCUGAGCCUUCCAAAGAUAUCAAAAUUCCUGUUUACAAAGACAGACAGCAAUUACUCUCUCCUCAUCUUUGGGGCCUGCAUCAGCAAGGCACUUUUAAAAAACAUACAAAAUACAAUAGUGACUUUUUACAUUUUUCUGUUUCUUCUAUGCUUGGCUUGGCAGAUGUGUCUGUGUGCUCAUUCAAUCCACUUCCAUCCAUCUUCAGCAGAUACCAAUAUGCAGCAUGUAGUCCUUGCAUUCCUCUUUGGCUCCCAUUUACAAGCUGCUCUCAGUUCUUCUGCUCCCCUGCUUCAAAGCCCUUCCCAAAUGGGGAGCAGGCAGUGGCAACUACAUCCCUGAACUGACAGAAUGGGAAACUUCAUGCUUAGAGGGUUGUCUUUCUUACAGCCAAGUCCUCUGCCAAUUUACUUUAGCUGUGAUAAAUUUUAUCUUGCUUUCUUUGAGAAGCAUUAUUUCUCAAAUGAUUCAGUGUUUUCUUUUUUUUUUAAAGGUUCCUCUUUUUUUUUUUUUUUCCUCCUUAAAACAAGCAGGUAACUUACAAUUUAGCUAGUCUACAUUAUUCCUAGAUCAGACCAUGAAUUUUGGUAAAAGGAAGAAAAGUACAGGGAACACUGACCAUAAAAGGGCAGCUUUUGUGUUUCAUGGGCUUAGUUGGUGGUUGGUGCUUCACCUUUUUUUUCCAGCUGGUGGCUGAUGCUUUGCUGCUUCAAUUCAAGCAAAUAGUUGGACUGAAUUUGGAAAAUUAACAUGACAAUGUCAAUGUCAAGACCCAUUACAAUAAAAAGAGAGAGUUCUUAUUUGCAAGGUAGUGUCUUAACAGCUUGGGGUCAGAGGAACCCUUUCCCUUCUCAAAUUGUGUGGGUCAUGUAAUCAUGAGGAAGGAAAGUCGAUGGUGAUUAAUUUGUUGAUUUAUUUUACCACUCUUUUAUUUUUUUUUUCAAAUGUAUUCCUAAAACGACAACAAACAUUUCAUCGUGCUUCCAUCACAGUCUUCUGGCUUAAUUUUUUGGAAGCACCUAUGUAAGCUGUUUUUAAUCCCUGCAGUUUUGUUCAAUGACUUCAGCUGAGGAGGACUGUCACCUCCUUGAAAUUUCACCUGGCAACUUCAACAUUUUCUUCAUUUUCUUUUGUUGAGAGGAGAGUGUGAUUAUGCUGUCUGGAAGAUCUCCCAUCUGGCUCUCUGCAGCUUUCAGCUGGCUCUGGGGGAUGUAUCCUACUCCAGCCGUAUCUGCACAAGGUUUGUUACCGUAAUUUCAUUGUGCUCACCCUCACCUGCAUGUCCAAGAGCUGGGUCUUAAAGGCCCCAUUUAACCACAAUGCUUAGAUGGGUUCUUUCUCCUGGUUGUGAAGACUGGUAUGUCUGUUGACUCCUGCAGUCCUUAAUCUGGCAAAUACCCCUGUAAAAUCAAAGGAGCAGCACCUGUGCUUAAACUAAGUGACCUUAACAUCAAUACAGGUGACUUAACAGAAUUGCCAACUGAUUUUAAUCUUCUUCAGACUGUUACUGGAAAUACCAUGUUUAGUACUGAUUGUGCUUAGCUAAAGAAUUUUCUGGAUAUAACCGUUGUUGGAGUAACAUCCAGAAGAAGUGCGUUCAGGCAAAAGUCUCUCAUCUGUGCCUUUGGAUCCACCUUGCCAGCAGGUGAAAAUGUUCAAUGUCAUGCAGGAUCUGCUUAGUUGUUUGCAUGACAUUUAACAUAAAGCUAUUGUCCUUCCUUUCCUUUGCAGAUAUAUUUUCCAUUUUUUCAUGACUAUUAAAACAGUGCUGAGACUCUGCUGCGUGGGGUAUAUGCACCAAUUCUGAUGGGGAAAUUUGUCAAUGAAUUUUCAGAAAGGCUCAGGAUGAGCAGUGUUGGGAAAACUGAGCCAUCAGCUGUCUCCUCAUUUAAGAAAAUAGUUCCAGGUUUGUUGUAGUUCCCAGAAAAUUAAUUAAUUAUAAUUAAUUGAUUAUAAAAUUCAAUGCUUAAAAGAGUUAUUUUGGGACUUAUAAACUCUGAAUAAACCAAAUAGGAAUGGGACUUUUUCCAGGAAUUUUUGAUUGCUUAACUACAGUUCUCACUAUUUUCUACCACUCUGCUUGGGGAAAACACACUCCUGAAAUAGUGGUUUUAAAUUCUCUUCACUAUCCCUUCCUUUUAAUUUCUUUUUGCUGUGCCAGUACCUCUGUUGUGUAGUCCCAUCAACAGACCAUGGUAGCAACAUAACACAAUUUUCCAAAUAUACCUUUGCUGAGGGAUGUCUUCUUCUGACAGUUAAUAUUUGAUUUUGUUGCUCUUGUAGCCCCUCCUUUUGGACCUAUAUGGCUUUGGGUAAGAUGAGUGUGUGUUUGUAUAUGUGCAUGUGUGUGUGUGCAAGGAGCGGGGGUAUCCUUUUUGGUAUUACUCUGUCAGUAUAAUGGAUGUUUUGUUGUGGGUUAAAUUGCUAAAAUAAGUAUCUCCUGUUUGAUAACAAAUACCACAAUGUUUUUUAAACUUUAUCUCCAAUUUAAGGCACUAUGUUUCAGUAAUGCUAAAGAUUAUAUUUCUAGUAAUAGCAUUUUAGAUUCACUUUAAAGCCCUGUGGAUUCAAAUUCCCUAGUGUUGGUUUUAAUAAGAUGUCAUGGCUUUUCCCUUCAAUGACAACUGCUCUUUGUUAUUGUUUUAUUUACAUUUUAAACUGAGCUGAACACAACAGUUUUGAACAUGAAAGAAAUAGCAAGGUAGACUGAAAUCUUUUAAAUUAUUAUUUCUUUUAAGCAGGCAACUUUUUGGAAGGCUGUAUUCUGCAGUCUCUAAAACGUUUAAGUUGUUGUCGUGUGAACUCAUGUGAGAGGAGGAAGACAGAGAACUCAAGUGCCUCAUUCUAUAGUGUGAAAUGAAGUUUGUGGGUGGACUUUUCACAGGGCUGCAUUAUGCUUUGUCUCCGUGUGACACGCUGGUUAAAUGGACAGGACAAGCCUUUGUAGUUUUGCAAUGUGCCAUUGUUACUUAGCACAGGAGACCAGCGCAGUAUUGGUGUAGCUGUUCAUAAACUGGUGAUUGGAAAAGCUUGUACAGGGCAAGACAGAAAAUGCUAUAUCAUAAUUUUGAGUCUGAGUCUUGAAGAUGCUUCUGGCGAUGUGAAACACUCCCUUUCCUUAAAAACAUCAUUCCCUCUAAUCCUCGUUGUGUGAUGCUGCAGAUGGAGACAGUACUGAGCAUCUAUUAGCAAUUCAGAUACACAGGGCUGAGGUUGGAGUUUUGAUCUUUUAUGUUCUCCGAGGAUCUCUGAAGAGUAUUUUUGGCCUGGGGGUUUUCCACAGCCCUAUUUUGUGAGAAAUGCUGAGUUCCCAUUUCUUUUCUUUCUGCUUUGCUGAGGGUGGGGCUCUGAAAGCCGUUGCUGAAAACUUCAGUUGUAGCCUGUCUUUUUGAAGUACUUGCAUUUUAAAUACUUUAUGAGCUUGAAGUAUUCUAAUUUCCCCUGGAAUAACAAGCACCUUCCUUUAACAGUAGCCGAGAGGAGACUAGGUAACAGCAAUUUUCACACACACUCUUCAACUCAUGCGAAAUCUCUUACCCCAGGGUACCAGACUUGUUUUGCACUGCUGGCCUGGGCAUUAACCAUUACCUUUAACUUUAGCAAGGAAGGAAGGGUUUGGCCUGAACUGUGAAUUCGGGAUGUUUGCUAGAAGGAGGAGGUGCAUAAACCAAUAACUAGAUGUCUUCAUCUGUUGCAGCUGCUACCUUGCAACGGGGGCUUCUGGAGCUUUUGCUGUUCAUAGAGUCCCAGAGAGCUGAUGGCACGCAGGGAGAGCAAACUAAAGUGUCAAGAGGAUGUCAGACUCCAUUGCCAGUAUGUGACCAGAGGCACCAAGACAAAGGAUGAUCUUCAGAACUUGUUAACUGCACAGGAGCCGGGGUGACUUUCACAGAGGUCACAGAAAAGGGUCCGUCCCAGCUUGGUGGGGUCACCUGGAAUGAUCUCAGAAUUUCCAUACAAGCAGUAAAGAGCUGCUUUUUCCAGUGUCAGACUUGCUUUCUGGUCCAACAGACACUGUGCUUUGAAUUCGGCAGUAUGCAUAUGGCUGGCUAUCGGUACCAUGUUUCCUGAAUACGCAGACUUUUUGCAGAAAAUUGUGGACUUCACUGCUGGCACCAAUGUAUGAAAGGAAAGUCUUUUUAGAAGCUGCCUGACAUGUCAUCCAAAGUCCCUUAAGAUAACAACUCUGCUGGGAGAAGAUGGGAACUGGAAGGGGAAUUGAUGGUGCUUACGCCAACUGUUGGAAUGAUGCUGCAACACCCUGAUCAGGACUGAUUGCUGGGAGAAUGACAGAGAAGUGAGAUUGCCAUGAAACUGAGAGAACACGAACCUGCAUUUUGCAACAGACCUCUUGGUACCACAGUGCUGAAUCUUGGCUGAUGCUUCAGACAAUGUAAAUGAAGCCAGAAUAAAACAAGCAUCCCCAGAAGGAGUGCCCUGCCUGAGAGACACAAGGUCCUGCAGUAGGUGCUGGUUGAACUGAUUUGGAAGGAAUGAUACACAGCUGGCCAGCUCCUUGUGACCUGCUCAAACACCAAGUGCGGAAACUGGAACACCAGCUCCAUCUUCUUACUGGGUCUCAGCUCUUCCCCAGUCCUUCAAGGAAGGCAGCCACUUAUAUCGUUAAGGGAUGUGCUCAAUUAAUCUCUCUCUGGACUAAAGACGCAGCGCAGCCAUGGAACAAGGCAGUAUUUACACAAAGCACAGGAGACACGUCAGAGCAGGAAAUACAAGGGCAGAGCUGGUAUUUUAGCCUUUCAUCAGGGAUGCCCCCUCUGUGGCUUGCUCCCAGCACCUCUCUGGGGCACACCCCUGUCUAGCCUGGGCUCUGCAGUGACCAGACAAGUUGUGAACCUGGAGCAUCACCAAAGGCAGUGAAACAAAACCAGAGGAACGGUGGGCACCUUUCUCAGCUGGGGUGUGAGGUGUUGGAUGGACGAAGAGGUGCCUGGGAGACAGACACCUUGUGACAGCAUUUGGGACACAAGGUAAGUGCACACGCUUUUGUAGCAUCUCUCAUGUUGCCGUGUCUUGCUUCUGCUCGGGCUAUCAGUGUUGUUGUUUGUGGUUUUUUUUGUAAGACCACUGUAAAAGGGCCUUGCACGCUACAGACCAUAUGUGAGAGUCGCUUUUCUAUACGCAGGAAUAAACAGCUCUGAGAUGAAAUAUUUCUAAGUAAUGAGAUUAGUGACAUGAACAUAGCAUGGGAUACAGCUUUCAAAAAUAAUUACAUCUGACACCCUCAUCAGCAAGAAGAUGUAGGGGCUGCAAGCUCUCAGCUUGGGAACAGCAUAUGAAAGAUUGGCUCCUCCUGGGAAGGGAGGCACGAGGGAGGUUAUUUUUAGUACUUCGUAAAAAAAUUAAAAAAAAAAAAAAAAAGAAGCUAGAAUUUAAGCACUCUUUAGUUUGAUACCCUCAUUAUGGAGGAGAUCAUAGGGAAAGAAAAGCAAAACCAGUAGUGGAGCCUCGGGAUAUUGUGGAAGCGAGAGGCUGCUCCGAGGAGGGUGGGAGCGGUGCGGGCGGGCCGGGGGUUGGGGGCGGCGCGGGGUUACUCUGCCCCGCCGCCCCGUCCCGUCCCGUCCCCGGUUGUGCCCGUCGGUACAAUAACAACCCACCGACGGCGGAGCAGGCAGUUCCGUUUUCGCUACAGUAUAUAUAGAUCAGACACUUUCCAAAAAAAGCGGCGACGCGUUCGCUCUGCUCGGUGCCUCUUUCCACCCGUAAUUCAGAUUUUUUUAAAAUUUAUUUUUAAGAAAGGAGAAGCCGGAUUCCGUGAAUGCGGCUGUUUUCUGACCCGCCGCCGCUUUGCGGUUACGGGCUGCUGAGAAAGUGAGCUGGGUCCGGCGGGGCGGCCCCGGGACCUCCUCUGCUUUCCGAGCUUUUUAAAAUUUUCCGGAACGAGCCCUAAAAAGGGCAGGCGGGGCGGGGCCGGAUCCUCGCCUUUUUAGGACAAGGGCCCCGCCACCGGAAUACCCCCCUGGGCGGCGCGGCGGGCGGCGUUGGGGCGCUGCCGGCGCGGCAGGGGCUCGGCG